CGGGAUAGGCGGGAAACCCUACCUGACUGGGGGUCAGGGGGUCGCAGGUUCAAAUCCUGUCGUCCCGA
rnacentral:tRNA from 1 species